UACGUAGGAGACGAGCGUUGUCCGGAAUUACUGGGCGUAAAGCGCGUGUAGGCGGAUGAGCAAGUCUGCUGUGAAAGCUCCUGGCUUAACCGGGAGUGGUCGGUGGAAACUGCUCGUCUGGAGGACGGUAGAGGUAGGUAGAAUUCCCGGUGUAGUGGUGAAAUGCGUAGAGAUCGGGAGGAACACCGGUGGCGAAGGCGGGUCUCUGGGCAGUAACUGACGCUGAGGAGCGAAAGCGUGGGGAGCGAACAGG
rnacentral:rRNA from 1 species